rnacentral:rRNA from 1 species
AGAGUUUGAUCCUGGCUCAGGAUGAACGCUGGCGGCGUGCUUAACACAUGCAAGUCGAACGAGAAGUGGAGACGGAAACCUUCGGGCGGAAGGCUUUAUUUCGAGUGGCGGACGGGUGAGUAACGCGUGGGUAACCUGCCUCAUACGGGAGGAUAACAGUUGGAAACGACUGUUAAUACCGCAUAAGACCACAGCACCGCAUGGUGCAGGGGUAAAAACUCCGGUGGUAUGAGAUGGACCCGCGUUCGAUUAGCCAGUUGGCGGGGUAACGGCCCACCAAAGCGACGAUCGAUAGCCGAUCUGAGAGGAUGACCGGCCACAUUGGGACUGAGACACGGCCCAAACUCCUACGGGAGGCAGCAGUGGGGAAUAUUGCGCAAUGGGGGAAACCCUGAUGCAGCGACGCCGCGUGAGUGAAGAAGUAUUUCGGUAUGUAAAGCUCUAUCAGCAGGGAAGAAAAUGACGGUACCUGAGUAAGAAGCCCCGGCUAACUACGUGCCAGCAGCCGCGGUAAUACGUAGGGGGCAAGCGUUAUCCGGAUUUACUGGGUGUAAAGGGAGCGCAGACGGCUCUGCAAGUCUGAAGUGAAAGCCCGCGGCUUAACCGCGGGACUGCUUUGGAAACUGCAAGGCUUGAGUAUCGGAGGGGCAGGCGGAAUUCCUAGUGUAGCGGUGAAAUGCGUAGAUAUUAGGAAGAACACCGGUGGCGAAGGCGGCCUGCUGGACGAAAACUGACGUUGAGGCUCGAAGGCGUGGGGAGCAAACAGGAUUAGAUACCCUGGUAGUCCACGCGGUAAACGAUGAAUACUAAGGUGUCGGUGCCCGAAGGGCAUCGGUGCCGUCGCAAACGCAAUAAGUAUUCCACCUGGGGAGUACGUUCGCAAGAAUGAAACUCAAAGGAAUUGACCGGGGACCCGCACAAGCAGUGGAGCAUGUGGGUUUAAUUUCGAAGCAACCGCGAAGAACCUUACCAAAUCUUGACAAUCCCUUCUGACUGCGCCGUAAUGGCGUUUUUCCUUUCUGGACAGAAAAAAGACAAGUGGUGCAUGGGGUGGUCGUUCAGCUCGUGUUCGUGAGGAAUGUUAGGGGUUAAGUUC